rnacentral:rRNA from 1 species
UCUGACGGUGCACACCGCGUGAGUGACGAAGGCCUCAGGGUCGUAAAGCUCUGUUAUCAAGGAAGAAAACGUACUGUGCGAAUAGAGCAGUACCUUGCCGGUACUUGAUCAGAAAGCCCCGGCUAACUACGUGCCAGCAGCCGCGGUAACACGUAGGGGGCGAGCGUUGUCCGGAAUUAUUGGGCGUAAAGGGCACGCAGGCGGCCUUUUAAGUCUGAUGUGAAAGCCCGUGGCUCAACCACGGAAUGGCAUUGGAAACUGAAAGGCUUGAGUGCAGAAGAGGAGAGCGGAAUUCCACGUGUAGCGGUGAAAUGCGUAGAUAUGUGGAGGAACACCAGUGGCGAAGGCGGCUCUCUGGUCUGUAACUGACGCUGAGGUGCGAAAGCGUGGGGAGCGAACAGGAUUAGAUACCCUGGUAGUCCACGCCGUAAACGUUGAGUGCUAGGUGUUAGGGGUUUCGAUACCCUUAGUGCCGAAGUAAACACAUUAAGCACUCCGCCUGGGGAGUACGACCGCAAGGUUGAAACUCAAAGGAAUUGACGGGGGCCUGCACAAGCGGUGGAGCAUGUGGUUUAAUUCGAUGCAACGCGAAGAACCUUACCAGGUCUUGACAUCUUUUGCCCGCUCUGGAGACAGAGU